rnacentral:rRNA from 1 species
GCUGUGGGCUAGGGGUGAAAUGCCAAACGAACUUGGAGAUAGCUGGUUCUCGCCGAAAUAAUUUUAGGAUUAGCGUCCCACCGUUUAAUCCCGGAGGUAAAGCACUGAUUGAGGUAGGGGCCUACCCGGCUACCGAACUCAUUCAAACUCUGAAUACCGGGAUUCCAAGGGGGGCAGUCGGACUACGGGAGAUGAGUUUCGUGGUCGAGAGGGAAAGAACCCAGACCGUCAGCUAAGGUCCUGAAGUGGUGACUAAGUGGGAAAGGAUGUGGAGUUACUGAGACAGCCAGGAGGUUGGCUUAGAAGCAGCCAUCCUUGAAAGAGUGCGUAAUAGCUCACUGGUCUAGUGAUUCUGCGCCGAAAAUAUAACGGGGCUCAAGUCACCCACCGAAGCUACGGGUUUGUUGUGGUUGCAAGACGACGACAAGCAGUAGGCGAGCGUUCUGUUAACCUGAGAAGCCAUACCGUAAGGAGUGGUGGAGGAGACAGAAGCGAGAAUGUUGGCACGAG